rnacentral:rRNA from 2 species
GCAGUCGACGACUCUGGUAUUGAUUGGUGCUUGCAUCAUGAUUUACAUUUGAGUGAGUGGCGAACUGGUGAGUAACACGUGGGAAACCUGCCCAGAAGCGGGGGAUAACACCUGGAAACAGAUGCUAAUACCGCAUAACAACUUGGACCGCAUGGUCCGAGUUUGAAAGAUGGCUUCGGCUAUCACUUUUGGAUGGUCCCGCGGCGUAUUAGCUAGAUGGUGGGGUAACGGCUCACCAUGGCAAUGAUACGUAGCCGACCUGAGAGGGUAAUCGGCCACAUUGGGACUGAGACACGGCCCAAACUCCUACGGGAGGCAGCAGUAGGGAAUCUUCCACAAUGGACGAAAGUCUGAUGGAGCAACGCCGCGUGAGUGAAGAAGGGUUUCGGCUCGUAAAACUCUGUUGUUAAAGAAGAACAUAUCUGAGAGUAACUGUUCAGGUAUUGACGGUAUUUAACCAGAAAGCCACGGCUAACUACGUGCCAGCAGCCGCGGUAAUACGUAGGUGGCAAGCGUUGUCCGGAUUUAUUGGGCGUAAAGCGAGCGCAGGCGGUUUUUUAAGUCUGAUGUGAAAGCCUUCGGCUCAACCGAAGAAGUGCAUCGGAAACUGGGAAACUUGAGUGCAGAAGAGGACAGUGGAACUCCAUGUGUAGCGGUGAAAUGCGUAGAUAUAUGGAAGAACACCAGUGGCGAAAGGCGGCUGUCUGGUCUGUAACUGACGCUGAGGCUCGAAAGUAUGGGUAGCAAACAGGAUUAGAUACCCUGGUAGUCCAUACCGUAACGAUGAAUGCUAAGUGUUGGAGGGUUUCCGCCCUUCAGUGCUGCAGCUACGCAUUAGCAUCGCUGGGGAGUACGACGCAGCUGAACUCAAGAUUGGACGGGG